rnacentral:rRNA from 1 species
CCUACGGGAGGCAGCAGUGGGGAAUAUUGCACAAUGGGCGCAAGCCUGAUGCAGCGACGCCGCGUGAGGGAUGACGGCCUUCGGGUUGUAAACCUCUUUCAGCAGGGAAGAAGCGAGAGUGACGGUACCUGCAGAAGAAGCGCCGGCUAACUACGUGCCAGCAGCCGCGGUAAUACGUAGGGCGCAAGCGUUGUCCGGAAUUAUUGGGCGUAAAGAGCUCGUAGGCGGCUUGUCGCGUCGGUUGUGAAAGCCCGGGGCUUAACCCCGGGUCUGCAGUCGAUACGGGCAGGCUAGAGUUCGGUAGGGGAGAUCGGAAUUCCUGGUGUAGCGGUGAAAUGCGCAGAUAUCAGGAGGAACACCGGUGGCGAAGGCGGAUCUCUGGGCCGAUACUGACGCUGAGGAGCGAAAGCGUGGGGAGCGAACAGGAUUAGAUACCCUGGUAGUCCACGCCGUAAACGGUGGGCACUAGGUGUGGGCAACAUUCCACGUUGUCCGUGCCGCAGCUAACGCAUUAAGUGCCCCGCCUGGGGAGUACGGCCGCAAGGCUAAAACUCAAAGGAAUUGACGG